rnacentral:snRNA from 1 species
AGAUAGUCGGUUUUGAUAGGUA